rnacentral:misc_RNA from 1 species
AUUAAUUCCAAGUAUAAGAGCUGUGUAAAUUGACAGAAAUCCACAGAAAAAAGUACUUUUCCAUUGAAGAUGUCUCUUGGCAGAAUGCCUUCUAGGAUUUGAUCUCCAAGCGCGCAAAUGACAAAACGUCCAAACCAAAGGAGAAAAAACCGCAAUUUUUCAAUGAAAAAAGAGGGAUCUCCGUUUGAAUCUGAUGGGAAAAGCCUUUAGUGAUUAAAAUAAAAAAGAAGGCAGAGAAAGAAAGGAAGAAAAGAGAGCAGUUUCCUCCGACUAAUUAUAAAUGUGGAUGCAUGUUAUUGUUGCGCAUGCCAUGGGAUGCUAGAAAGCUCUCUGAAUUGUGUUUGCCUAGUAGUAUCAAUCAAUCGCUGCAUGUGCCAAGGAGCUGGAGUUGCCUUGCUCUAACCCGUACCUGCAAUCUGACAAGAACCUGCAUGCAAUGCAGGGCUAUACGAGUUUGUUUCCUUACGUAAGCCCCCCGAACUAAUGCUUGCAUUUUCACCAGGCUUCUUAGUGCUCGAAAUGCUCGUCUUGCGAGAUGGCCCCUGAAAAUUGCUUGGACUUUCAUGGCAGCUAUGUCUUCUUGGGUGAGUUGUUUCCUUGAAAUCAGUGAAAUUUCACUAAUCAAUUCCUCAUAACUGGCUUUUUCAUCUGUUUUUGCCUCAUCAUGAGGACUGGAGCAAGAAUUGGAAUCAAGAACAAUAGUGUUUCUAUGAGAGGAUGAUCUGAGGAAUUUUCUUCGGAUCAUGUCGAACCAUUUUCGAGAUGUCCUCAUUCUUGCCAUUUCUCUAAGUUAUAUUUUCUGCUUUCUCUUUCCAGGGGAAAGUGGGUUGUGGCAGAUUUAAUGUUCUUCACUCGAUCUCCAUUUCCACCAGCAAAAUACCUCUG